rnacentral:rRNA from 1 species
CACGUAGGGCGCAAGCGUUGUCCGGAAUUAUUGGGCGUAAAGAGCUCGUAGGCGGUUUGUCGCGUCGGCCGUGAAAUCUCCACGCUUAACGUGGAGCGUGCGGUCGAUACGGGCAGACUUGAGUUCGGUAGGGGAGACUGGAAUUCCUGGUGUAGCGGUGAAAUGCGCAGAGUAUCAGGAGGAACACCGGUGGCGAAGGCGGGUCUCUGGGCCGAUGACUGACGCUGAGGAGCGAAAGCGUGGGGAGCGAACAGG